AGCGAACGCUGGCGGCAUGCCUAACACAUGCAAGUCGAACGAGACCUUCGGGUCUAGUGGCGCACGGGUGCGUAACGCGUGGGAACCUGCCCUUAGGUUCGGAAUAACUCCCCGAAAGGGGUGCUAAUACCGGAUAAUGUCUUCGGACCAAAGAUUUAUCGCCUUUGGAUGGGCCCGCGUUGGAUUAGCUAGUUGGUAGGGUAAAAGCCUACCAAGGCGACGAUCCAUAGCUGGUCUGAGAGGAUGAUCAGCCACACUGGGACUGAGACACGGCCCAGACUCCUACGGGAGGCAGCAGUGGUGAAUAUUGGACAAUGGGCGAAAGCCUGAUCCAGCAAUGCCGCGUGAGUGAUGAAGGCCUUAGGGUUGUAAAGCUCUUUUACCCGGGAUGAUAAUGACAGUACCGGGAGAAUAAGCUCCGGCUAACUCCGUG
rnacentral:rRNA from 1 species